UACGUAGGGCGCAAGCGUUAUCCGGAAUUAUUGGGCGUAAAGAGCUCGUAGGCGGUCUGUUGCGUCUGCUGUGAAAACCCGGGGCUUAACCCCUGGCUUGCAGUGGAUACGGACAGACUAGAGGUAGGUAGGGGAGAAUGGAAUUCCUGGUGUAGCGGUGAAAUGCGCAGAUAUCAGGAGGAACACCGAUGGCGAAGGCAGGUCUCUGGGCCGAUACUGACGUGGAGGAGCGAAAAGCGUGGGGAGCGAACAGG
rnacentral:rRNA from 1 species